rnacentral:rRNA from 1 species
CGGGUGAGUAAUGUAUCGGAACGUGCCCAGUCGUGGGGGAUAACUGCUCGAAAGAGCAGCUAAUACCGCAUACGACCUGAGGGUGAAAGCGGGGGAUCGCAAGACCUCGCGCGAUUGGAGCGGCCGAUAUCAGAUUAGGUAGUUGGUGAGGUAAAGGCUCACCAAGCCGACGAUCUGUAGCUGGUCUGAGAGGACGACCAGCCACACUGGGACUGAGACACGGCCCAGACUCCUACGGGAGGCAGCAGUGGGGAAUUUUGGACAAUGGGCGCAAGCCUGAUCCAGCCAUGCCGCGUGCGGGAAGAAGGCCUUCGGGUUGUAAACCGCUUUUGUCAGGGAAGAAAAGGUUCUGGCUAAUACCUGGGACUCAUGACGGUACCUGAAGAAUAAGCACCGGCUAACUACGUGCCAGCAGCCGCGGUAAUACGUAGGGUGCAAGCGUUAAUCGGAAUUACUGGGCGUAAAGCGUGCGCAGGCGGUUAUGCAAGACAGAGGUGAAAUCCCCGGGCUCAACCUGGGAACUGCCUUUGUGACUGCAUGGCUAGAGUACGGUAGAGGGGGAUGGAAUUCCGCGUGUAGCAGUGAAAUGCGUAGAUAUGCGGAGGAACACCGAUGGCGAAG